rnacentral:rRNA from 1 species
AUGAACGCUGGCGGCGUGCUUAACACAUGCAAGUCGAACGGAAAGGCCAGUGCUUGCACUGGUGCUCGAGUGGCGAACGGGUGAGUAACACGUGGGUGAUCUGCCCUGCACUUUGGGAUAAGCCUGGGAAACUGGGUCUAAUACCAGAUAGGACCAUGCUUUGGAUGGUGUGGUGGAAAGUUUUUUCGGUGUGGGAUGAGCUUGCGGCCUAUCAGCUUGUUGGUGGGGUAAUGGCCUACCAAGGCGUCGACGGGUAGCCGGCCUGAGAGGGUGUACGGCCACAUUGGGACUGAGAUACGGCCCAGACUCCUACGGGAGGCAGCAGUGGGGAAUAUUGCACAAUGGGCGCAAGCCUGAUGCAGCGGCGCCGCGUGGGGGAUGACGGCCUUCGGGUUGUAAACUCCUUUCGCAACUGACGAAGCUUUUUGUGACGGUAGGUUGAGAAGAAGCACCGGCUAACUACGUG